ACGUGGGCCACAGUGUGGGGUCUGGGGCUCCAUCUAUCACACUCUCUCCCCAUGCCCAUGAUAGCCGUCACUUGUUUGCUCUCAUAAGUCAUAGCUUGGAGAGAGAGGGAGAGAGAUAAACACGGUAAACAGCCUGAAGCCUCAUUUUGUCAAGACCGCCAGCGAAAUCUCUUGAGAAGAGGGCAUCAAAGGCAUUUGAAGAAAAGAAAAAGGCUCUUUUGAUAGGUUUAUGCGCGUCUCCUUGCAAUGUCUUUUGCUGGCAGCAGGAGACUCAUGUCCUCUACUACGGCGGUGCUGUUGAUCGUCUCGGUGUUACAGAUUUGGGUCUGUUGUGAGUACCCAUGCCAUGCCCGGGCAAUUCGGAUACUGCCGGGAAAUGGAAUGCCGGCGAACGUCAUAGAGGAAAGCCGCCAGCUGGGAAGUAUAGAUAAGAAAAGCAAGGAGGAGCUGUUCCGCAAGUAUUUCAAUGCAACUCCUUUUGGUCUCAACAAAACUGACAGUGGAUUUGAGGAGAGUAAACGAAGAGUACCCAGUUGCCCAGAUCCUCUCCACAACUAGUAGAAUUUUCGUCUUCACUCUCUGUUUUUUUUUUUUUAAAAAAAAAGAGAUUUUGUUGAAUGUCAUCCAAAAUACCCUCGUUUUUCUCACCAUUUUUGUGCAAGUAGUUUGAUGGUUUCGUAGUUUAUGGGGGAAAACCGGGGGUAUUUUGGUAUUUUAAUUCCUUUGAUCUUUUGAAUGGAGGAGGAGGAUAUCCAAGAAAAUGGACGAUGAUGAUAUGUAUAGUAGUGGAGAGUCUAACUUUACAGUGACCACAAUGGUACUUUCUAUUGCUAGAAUCUCUGUAUGUACUUGCUUUAGAUCCUUUUUGGUUUAGCUUUUCUCUUGAGAACAGGAAGAGUAGCAGACAGUAAAAUUAGAAGCAGAGAUUCAUAUCUUUUCACUGCAACAGCACAAAGAAGUUGUUUUUAUCACUGCUCCUGCGCCUGUAUUUCUUGUUGUUGAUCUUGUUAUUUGAUUGGUAGUAAUAUAUUAUAUUGUUUAUACCAGUUUGAAUGACAAGUGCAAGAUUCGUGGCCAAAGAUUUAUAUAUAUUGCUAUUCUCAAGUAUAUAUGAAUAUGAUCAGCAGAAUUCUGAACUUAUUGAAUGUGCAGUAGCUUUGGUAUCUCUUCAAGUUAAUUAUACGAGAAAUUUGUUGAUUUUACUUUCCGAAACUAGUAAAUGUGACUGUUCACACCUUCUCUCUCGUCUUUCAAAGCUAGCAAAAACUAAUUGAAACAUCCCAUAUGCUGAUCCACGUUGAUCUGACCAUCCCUGCGCUGCCUUCACAUAUAUGGACUUAAAUAAGAGAGUAUGGUGAAGAUACUGAUUCUUAGUUAUUUCAUGAAGUGGGGUACUUCUGUUUAGAAGAGGACCAAGAGGAUUUGAUAAACAAAAUAUCUCCGGGCCAGCCCGGGUUGAAAAUGAAGACCCGAGAACUCGCAGCUUGGACCAGUGUAAUCAUUUUCAAACCACGAGCCCAGAUCGGGCCAUAAGAACUAACGUGCUAGUACAACAGCUGCUUUAAUUACAAUUCAAAACGUGGAGCAGGAGAUAGCAGCCGUAGCUUGCCAGCAGGCGAAGAAUCGAAGUGAUGCUCAGCCAUGGCCAUACCCUAUCAGUAUGCAGCACCUGACCAAGACCAUACCCCAUUAAUAGGCAUUUCACAUAAGGGAAGACAACAUGCAACUAAUUUAGGUGUCCGUUGCUCAAGAUUGACAAUACCAUCAACUGCAAGAUUCAUCGAUCUAUAGUUUAAUUAACACAAGAAAUGUACCUUUUAAACAGUUUAAAAGUGGUUGAAUGUUAGAUGGAGUUUACUCCUUGUUCGUUUUUGCAAAAUGGGAAACUUUUUACAGUGUACAAUUUAUUGCUUUCUCCAGGCUCCAGUAACGUUUUUGUCUGGAUAUAAAAAGGGUGAGAGAAAACAAAAUACUAUUGAGUGCAGAGAGAGAAAAGGGAGGUGGAAUAAGUGAGAAUUUGAUAGGUUUAAUAUAUUAGGGUUUUGUUGUUUGUAUUUAGUUAAAAACUGAGUCUCGUAUUCCGGUCAUUUGGGCGUUUGUAAGGAUGGAGAAACAAGCAGCGAAACCUAUGUGAGAAAGCGCCACGUAUUGUGCGGCGAGGAAGAUGUGAAA